AGAACGCUGGCGGCAGGCCUAACACAUGCAAGUCGAGCGGAUGAAGGGAGCUUGCUCCUGGAUUCAGCGGCGGACGGGUGAGUAAUGCCUAGGAAUCUGCCUGGUAGUGGGGGAUAACGUCCGGAAACGGGCGCUAAUACCGCAUACGUCCUGAGGGAGAAAGUGGGGGAUCUUCGGACCUCACGCUAUCAGAUGAGCCUAGGUCGGAUUAGCUAGUUGGUGGGGUAAAGGCCUACCAAGGCGACGAUCCGUAACUGGUCUGAGAGGAUGAUCAGUCACACUGGAACUGAGACACGGUCCAGACUCCUACGGGAGGCAGCAGUGGGGAAUAUUGGACAAUGGGCGAAAGCCUGAUCCAGCCAUGCCGCGUGUGUGAAGAAGGUCUUCGGAUUGUAAAGCACUUUAAGUUGGGAGGAAGGGCAGUAAGUUAAUACCUUGCUGUUUUGACGUUACCAACAGAAUAAGCACCGGCUAACUUCGUGCAGCCCCGCCGCGGUA
rnacentral:rRNA from 1 species